rnacentral:rRNA from 1 species
CUAACACAUGCAAGUCGAGCGGGGAUAGGUAGCUUGCUACCGAUUCUUAGCGGCGGACGGGUGAGUAAUGCUUAGGAAUCUGCCUAUUAGUGGGGGACAACAUUUCGAAAGGAAUGCUAAUACCGCAUACGUCCUACGGGAGAAAGCAGGGGAUCUUCGGACCUUGCGCUAAUAGAUGAGCCUAAGUCGGAUUAGCUAGUUGGUGGGGUAAAGGCCUACCAAGGCGACGAUCUGUAGCGGGUCUGAGAGGAUGAUCCGCCACACUGGGACUGAGACACGGCCCAGACUCCUACGGGAGGCAGCAGUGGGGAAUAUUGGACAAUGGGCGGAAGCCUGAUCCAGCCAUGCCGCGUGUGUGAAGAAGGCCUUUUGGUUGUAAAGCACUUUAAGCGAGGAGGAGGCUUACCUAGUUAAUACCUGGGAUAAGUGGACGUACUCGCAGAAUAGCACCGGCAACU